GAUGAACGCUGGCGGCGUGCCUAAUACAUGCAAGUCGAGCGAACAGACGAGGAGCUUGCUCCUUUGACGUUAGCGGCGGACGGGUGAGUAACACGUGGAUAACCUACCUAUAAGACUGGGAUAACUUCGGGAAACCGGAGCUAAUACCGGAUAACAUGUUGAACCGCAGGGUUCAACAGUGAAAGACGGUCUUGCUGUCACUUAUAGAUGGAUCCGCGCCGCAUUAGCUAGUUGGUAAGGUAACGGCUUACCAAGGCAACGAUGCGUAGCCGACCUGAGAGGGUGAUCGGCCACACUGGAACUGAGACACGGUCCAGACUCCUACGGGAGGCAGCAGUAGGGAAUCUUCCGCAAUGGGCGAAAGCCUGACGGAGCAACGCCGCGUGAGUGAAGAAGGUCUUCGGAUCGUAAAACUCUGUUAUUAGGGAAGAACAAAUGUGUAAGUAACUAUGCACGUCUUGACGGUACCUAAUCAGAAAGCCACGGCUAACUACGUG
rnacentral:rRNA from 1 species